rnacentral:rRNA from 1 species
CGAAUGGGCGCAAGCCUGACCGAGCGACGCCGCGUGGAGGAAGAAGGCCUUCGGGUUGUAAACUCCUGUUGGGGAGGCUCAAUCCAUGAGAUAAUCCCUGAGGAAGCACGGGCUAAGUUCGUGCCAGCAGCCGCGGUAAGACGAACCGUGCGAACGUUAUUCGGAAUCAUUGGGCUUAAAGAGCGCGUAGGCGGCGUCGUAAGUUGGAGGUGAAAUCCCAUCGGCUCAACCGUGGAACUGCCCCCAAUACUGCGGCGCUUGAGGGAGGUAGGGGCAUGUGGAACUUCCAGUGGAGCGGUGAAAUGUGUUGAGAUUGGAAGGAACGCCAGUGGCGAAAGCGACAUGCUGGAUCUCUUCUGACGCUGAGGCGCGAAAGCUAGGGGAGCGAACGGGAUUAGAUACCCCGGUAGUCCUAGCCUUAAACGAUGGGUACUGGGUAGAAAGCGUUCCGAUACGCCUUCUGCCGGAGCGAAAGCGUUAAGUACCCCGCCUGGGGAGUAUGGUCGCAAGGCUG